AAAGCAAUAUAUUCAAAAAAAAAAAAGAAGCAAAAGAAACAAAAAAAAACAGUAUCCAAAAGAGAAAAGGAAAAGGAUAAAAAGCAACAUCCACUCGCCAACUUGGAGCCGUUGCUCUUGAUGCACAUAGAAUUGAGUGCUCGGAAAACAAUUUUUGCUGCUGGCAAGAUGAAGACACAACCGCUACUUCGUGCAAGGCAUGUGAAGACAAAGCCUGUACAAUAGAUUCUGUGAGUCAAAUCCUGAGUCGACAAGAUAAAGAUGGAUGGUAUACACAAUAGAAAAAGAAGGCAUAUGAAACAAUGAAACCAAAGAGAAUACGAGAGGAAGAGAUACUUCGUCUAAUGGAAGAAAAGAAACAACUGAAAAAAGUAAGUCAUUACUCAAAAACUACAUAUGAAUAUGUUUAUAUGUGGAUGUGCUUGCAUGUUUUUCAUUUAUCUAACACAUUAUUUAAUCUACUUGAUUCUUCUAAAAUAGCAAGAGAAGCUGUUUACAGCUGCUUCAAAAGCUGAAGGUGCUGAGAUGAAAAAAUAUAAGAUGGAGAUGCAGAAGUGGGAAACGGGGAAAUAUACUCUAAAAUCCAUUGUAGGUGAAAUUGACAAAAACGUGGUUGAAUUAGGAUCAAUUGGAGGUAGGAUCUUUCGUUAUUUGUGUUUCUUUGUUUCUUCCUCCUUUGGAAUCCACUCACCGCGUUCAAGGCGCCUAAGCUAUUUUUUCGCUUUUGUAGCUUAGGACAUUUGGUCACAAGGUUUGCAGAAAAAGGGGUUACAUAUUGCACGACGUCAAGCCCCAUGGAAAGAACUAUUGUAUGGACUACGGUAGUUCCUAAAGAAACUUAUGUGAUUUCUGAAGAUGUCUUCUUC